rnacentral:pre_miRNA from 1 species
AUGUAAAUGUGAUAUUGGCACGGCUCAAUCAGAUUUAAAGGACCCAAUCUUUGAGAGCUUUCAUUUGAUUGAGCCAUUCCAACACCUCAUUAUAUUCU